rnacentral:rRNA from 1 species
CAGCAGCCACGGUAAUACGUAGGGUGCGAGCGUUAAUCGGAAUUACUGGGCGUAAAGCGUGCGCAGGCGGUUUUGUAAGACAGGCGUGAAAUCCCCGGGCUCAACCUGGGAAUGGCGCUUGUGACUGCAAAGCUAGAGUGCGGCAGGGGGGGAUGGAAUUCCGCGUGUAGCAGUGAAAUGCGUAGAGAUGUGGAGGAAUACCGAUGGCGAAGGCAGCCCCCUGGGCCAAUACUGACGCUCAUGCACGAAAGCGUGGGGAGCAAACAGGAUUAGAUACCCGCGUAGUCCCUGUCUCUUAUAC